GCCCGGGUGGCGGAACCAGGCAAACGCGCCAGUCUGGAGAGCUGGUGGGGCUAUGCCCCUUGUGGGUUCAAAUCCCACCCCGGGCG
rnacentral:tRNA from 1 species